AGCGAACGCUGGCGGCAGGCCUAACACAUGCAAGUCGAACGGAUCCUUCGGGAUUAGUGGCGGACGGGUGAGUAACACGUGGGAACGUGCCCUUUGGUUCGGAACAACUCAGGGAAACUUGAGCUAAUACCGGAUGUGCCCUUCGGGGGAAAGAUUUAUCGCCAUUGGAGCGGCCCGCGUAGGAUUAGCUAGUUGGUGAG
rnacentral:rRNA from 1 species